rnacentral:rRNA from 1 species
UGGGGAAUUUUGGACAAUGGGGCGAAAGCCUGAUCCAGCAAUGCCGCGUGUGUGAAGAAGGCCUUCGGGUUGUAAAGCACUUUUGUCCGGAAAGAAAUCCUUGGCUCUAAUACAGUCGGGGGAUGACGGUACCGGAAGAAUAAGCACCGGCUAACUACGUGCCAGCAGCCGCGGUAAUACGUAGGGUGCAAGCGUUAAUCGGAAUUACUGGGCGUAAAGCGUGCGCAGGCGGUUUGCUAAGACCGAUGUGAAAUCCCCGGGCUCAACCUGGGAACUGCAUUGGUGACUGGCAGGCUAGAGUAUGGCAGAGGGGGGUAGAAUUCCACGUGUAGCAGUGAAAUGCGUAGAGAUGUGGAGGAAUACCGAUGGCGAAGGCAGCCCCCUGGGCCAAUACUGACGCUCAUGCACGAAAGCGUGGGGAGCAAACAGGAUUAGAUACCCUGGUAGUCCACGCCCUAAACGAUGUCAACUAGUUGUUGGGGAUUCAUUUCCUUAGUAACGUAGCUAACGCGUGAAGUUGACCGCCUGGGGAGUACGGUCGCAAGAUUAAAACUCAAUGAAUUGACGGGUCAUAGCUGUUUCCU